rnacentral:rRNA from 1 species
UCUCACUCCCAGGAUGAGCCCACGUCCGAUUAGCUAGUUGGUAGGGUAAAGGCCUACCAAGGCCACGAUCGGUAGCUGGUCUGAGAGGAUGAUCAGCCACACUGGGACUGAGACACGGCCCAGACUCCUACGGGAGGCAGCAGUGGGGAAUAUUGGACAAUGGGCGCAAGCCUGAUCCAGCAAUGCCGCGUGUGUGAAGAAGGCCUGCGGGUUGUAAAGCACUUUCAGUGGGGAAGAACAGAUUCGGGUCAAUACCCCGGAGCCCUGACGUUACCCACAGAAGAAGCACCGGCUAACUCCGUG